rnacentral:rRNA from 1 species
UGCCCGAAUCCUGACACAGGGAGGUAGUGACAAGAAAUAACAAUACAGGGCUCUCUGAGUCUUGUAAUUGGAAUGAGUACAAUUUACAUCUCUUCACGAGGAUCAAUUGGAGGGCAAGUCUGGUGCCAGCAGCCGCGGUAAUUCCAGCUCCAAUAGCGUAUAUUAAAGUUGUUGCAGUUAAAACGCUCGUAGUCGGAUUUCGGGGCGGGGCCGCCGGUCUGCCGAUAGGUAUGCACUGGUGGGCGCGUCCUUUUUCCCGGAGACGGCUGCUACUCUUAACUGAGCGGUGGUCGGAGACGGGAUGUUUACUUUGAAAAAAUCAGAGUGUUUCAAGCAGGCAGUCGCUCUUGCAUGGAUUAGCAUGGGAUAAUGAAAUAGGACUCUGGUGCUAUUUUGUUGGUUUCGAGCACCGGAGUAAUGAUUAACAGGGACAGUCAGGGGCAC